GCCUAUAACAUAGAAUUAAUGCAUCAGUUCCCAUUAGAACUUCGUAUUUAAGCGCGCUCAGGCUAGAGUAGUACUAGGAUGGGUGAUUUCCCGGGAAGUCCUAAUGUUUGUAUGCC
rnacentral:rRNA from 1 species